rnacentral:rRNA from 1 species
GACGAACGCUGGCGGCGCGCCUAACACAUGCAAGUCGAACGAGCGAGAGAGAGCUUGCUUUCUCGAGCGAGUGGCGAACGGGUGAGUAACGCGUGAGGAACCUGCCUCAAAGAGGGGGACAACAGUUGGAAACGACUGCUAAUACCGCAUAAGCCCACAGCUCGGCAUCGAGCAGAGGGAAGAGGAGUGAUCCGCUUUGAGAUGGCCUCGCGUCCGAUUAGCUGGUUGGUGAGGUAACGGCCCACCAAGGCGACGAUCGGUAGCCGGACUGAGAGGUUGAACGGCCACAUUGGGACUGAGACACGGCCCAGACUCCUACGGGAGGCAGCAGUGGGGAAUAUUGCACAAUGGGGGAAACCCUGAUGCAGCGACGCCGCGUGGAGGAAGAAGGUCUUCGGAUUGUAAACUCCUGUUGUUGAGGAAGAUAAUGACGGUACUCAACAAGGAAGUGACGGCUAACUACGUGCCAGCAGCCGCGGUAAAACGUAGGUCACAAGCGUUGUCCGGAAUUACUGGGUGUAAAGGGAGCGCAGGCGGGAAAGCAAGUUGGAAGUGAAAUCCAUGGGCUCAACCCAUGAACUGCUUUCAAAACUGUUUUUCUUGAGUAGUGCAGAGGUAGGCGGAAUUCCCGGUGUAGCGGUGGAAUGCGUAGAUAUCGGGAGGAACACCAGUGGCGAAGGCGGCCUACUGGGCACCAACUGACGCUGAGGCUCGAAAGUGUGGGUAGCAAACA